AACUUUCGGCAAUGGAUCUCUUGGUUCUCCCAUCGAUGAAGAACGCAGCGAAAUGCGAUAAGUAGUGUGAAUUGCAGAAUUCAGUGAAUCAUCGAAUCUUUGAACGCACAUUGCGCCCUCCGGUAUUCCGGGGGGCAUGCCUGUUCGAGCGUCAUGAAAACAACUCGAGCCGCGGUUUGCCAAAAGCCAAGGCUCGGUCUUGGGUGCGAGGGACCGUGUUCGGGCCCCCCUCCGCCCGCAAUCCAGUGGCGGACGCCCCGUCGGCCGAGAGCGUGAUGAGCACCUCAAACGCUGCUGGCAGCCGGGAAGGUCCCGCCGUAACCCCCAAACAGAGUACAAUCUCCGGUUUGACCUCGGAUCAGGUAGGGAUACCCGCUGAACUUAAGCAUAUCAAUAAGCGGAGGCU
rnacentral:misc_RNA from 1 species